rnacentral:lncRNA from 1 species
UCUCCGUAAAACUUGUAUACUUUCCCAGAAAUGUAAAAUAUAAAUAUACAUAUAUAUUCUCAAAACUUCAUUUUUACUAUCUCAACAUUUUUUUCUUUAUCAACUCAUGCCAUGCCAUGUCUAAUUCAACAGUUAAGUAUGGAUGCAUCAACAAUAAUCAUAUCAGGUGCAAGAAAGUAAUCAACCGGAGGCCCUCUAAUAGCCCUGUACGGUUGAACCUAGAGCUCAAAAUCUAUCACUCUCACUUUGCCGGAGUCACCUCUGUGACCUGUCUGGCCUUCUGCACACAAGUUACGCUCUAGUGCUUUCUCAUCAAUCAUCUGUGCACAUAAUCUAAGGUCACCCACCAGUCGAAAUCUCACUAACACUCUACGACUGGCCCGUCGCACCCACUCCGCGUGGACUGUGCGACCAGCAUCUACUUGGAUCCAAGGCGAGCGUGCGAUGCGGUGAAUACUAUAAGCACUAAACCAUGGUGCAGGAUUUGAGCUCAAUAUACAUCAACAUCAUCAUAACAGUAAUUAAAUACUCACCUGAUACUCACCUGUGCGUCCGCCGCACCAUUCAUUCAUAUGCAUCAUAUCUCAAUUCAUACUUUUCAUAUCAUUUCAUGCAUGGCAACUCGAUUCACAUUUCUAUAUACUUUUCAUAUACUUUUAUGCAUGGCAUCUCAAUUCACAUUUCAAUAUACUUUUCAUAUAAUUUUAUACAUUUCAUCUAAAGCAUACUUUCAUUAAAUUUCAAUUUCUGGGAAAACGUCAAGUAUAUAUAUAUACGGAAAACAAAACUGCCCACUCACCUGGAGUUCGUCCAACAACUCCCUAGCACCACACAUCAAGGCGUCAUGACGAUCGCCGCCUAGAACAGUAAUCAAAUCCAACCUCAGAAUUCAUAUCGAUAGAAUAUAUAACUUAUAUAAAAUACGUCACUACGUAGUUCGAUCCGGAAGAUCCACCACUCAGAUUUUAAAUCCAUAACUUCCAGAGGUCCACAAUAUAUCUCUAGGAUAACAUCCUAAAAUUUCAUUACCAUCCAACGGUCGGAUCUCCGUCAAUUUCCAAAACUAAGUGACGGUUUACAUUUCAUUUUAUGAACUUACAACUCCAAUUCCGGAAGAUCCGUAACUCGGAUUCCCAAUCCGUAAGUUCCAAUAAUCCUCAAAUAUUACGUAUUGCAACGUAUCAAAGUUUGGUGAUGAUCCAACGGUCGGAUCAUCAAUUCACAUUUUCACCUAAUGCGAAACUAUAAAAACGUUAUUCGAACACCUAACCAACAAUCCUUAAUAACUUUCUCAUACGGUGCUCAAUUUGGGUAUAUGAAUAUACCACAGUGAUCUACUCGACGUCACGGACGUCGACAUAUUUUUUAAAAUAAUUUUUUUACUGUAGCACGUGCCCCCACGCGCCAAGGAAGGCACGGGUCCACGCGCCCCCACGCGCACCUUCUUCUUCCUUGGGUCGCCGGACUGGUUUUUCCGGCGCCCGUUUUCUGGGCAGUUUUUUCAAAUUGCCAUAACUUUGUCAUUUCUCAACGAAAUCAAGUGAUUCAAAAAGGAAAGUUGUAGUACUUGACGAGACGAAGAGAUUGAUACCUACCUCGACUCCUAACUCGCCGGAAAAAGCCUCGAAAGCUCCGGCCAAACUUUGAACUUGUCGAUCUCCGUGUUCUUACGUCCAAAAACUUCCAACGAAGCACUCCGAGCUUCCUUGGGACCUCACUAAUCUCACUAUGAGCUUGGAUUGUCCUAAAAAUCAACCAACAAAAAGUUCAUGAAUAGUGCCAAACUCGGACCUCGAGUUUUCAACGCGAAAACGAAGGAUUCCUUACCUGAAAAUGGUGUCUAAGUGAUCGUGGAGGUUCCAGGAGUUCAAUGGUGGUCUUAACUCCGUCGUUGGUAUAGAUUUAGGGUGGUUUUGUGGUGGUCCGUGUAAGUUCGAAGGAGAGGGAGAGAGAACUGAGAGUUUCGUGAGGGAGGAGAGAGAGAGACAAUGUUACGGGUUAUGGGGAGGGUUUUGAGGUGUGGGGAUCCCACGUGUCCAACCCAAUCCCAAUUUCAUAAAUUCCAACAUAAAAAUCCAAACUUAAGCCUAGUUUAAGUUCCUAAAACCAAAUAACUUAGGAACUUUAAGUAAAACCAAUUGUUAAAUUUUCGCCCCUUAGUCCCGUUUAAGGGCAUUUUCGUCUUUUCACGUCCUCGGAAUUAAAAUUCCGGGACGGGCUGUGACAAUCUUCCCUCCUUAUAGAAUUUCAUCCCCGAAAUUCCAGCAACCAACUAAAUCAACCAUACUCCAACAAUAGCUUCGGGUAAAUCUCUCUCAUCCGAUUCUCUUUCUCCCACAUAAUUUUCUACUGAAUGAUUUCCUUCACAAAGCUUUUACCACUUACUCUGUCUUAAUUCUCAGGACUUUCUUUUUCCAAUCCAAAGUCGUCCAUAGCUCCUCACUAAUUAGAUCCAGCUUAAUUCUCAAUAGUUUCACCAGAAUUCCAUGAGACGACUCUGCCACCUAGUGACAACGCAUCGAACACAAAAUACAUUAUGUGCCUUAGCCAAUUCUGAAGGCAUCACAAACUUGUAUGCAACUUCGUCGAUUCCUUUAAUGAUCAAAACGGACUGAUGUGUUCAAGACUUAUCUUGUCUUCCUUUCUGAAUCUUACUAUUUCUGUUCAUGGUGAAAUUCCAAAAAUAUCAAACCAUUUACCUUACACACUCGAUUAGUGGCAUAUCCAUCUGUUGAUCUCUUUUGCCAUUCCUGGUUACUUCAGGUUAACUUAAUCACCUGAAUACUUUGAGGAGACUCAUCCAUAGUCUCAGGGUCUACUAAAACUCUUUCUUGAUCGAAUCUUUCUCUAUUCAGAAGCAUUUCAUUCACACGACACGCUUCAGGGACCCUAUGGCGUUAUUUCGGAAACUGCGCACCCAACAUACUUAAGAAACUCAGCAGUUCCGUAAUCCAAUUCUCUUUCCAUAAAACAAAUAAGUACCGUUGUUCUGUCUGGGAAAAAGUUAUUACUUAACACUGGAGUAAUUGUACUAACUUGGUACAUUGACCAACUAUCACUUCAAAUUCGACCAUAACCAUCCUAUGUACAAGGAAACUUGUACACAUAAUCCAAAGUAAUAUCUUUCCAUUUCCGUUUCGAAACAGAAAAUAGCUGUCUCAAUCCAAAGGUUUAUCUCUUUCUGCCUCAAUCUGCUGACCAAAUAAAACUGUCGAAUGGUAUGAUAAAUCUUAUUACUUUUGGAAUAUUGCAGAAGUUAAACAAUGUACUUCGUCCAAAAUUGCUUACUUUAAAUCCUUAGCAUUAGGCACAUACUUUUUGUUUUCUUGUAUCCACAUACCAUUUGAUUCACGAAUCAUGUACUCAUUCUUUUUCCCUUCUUUCUCUGCCUUGGUUAAUUCUUAAAUUUCCUCGUCAAACAUUUAAGUUUCGAGUACGACCUUACCAAACAGGCCUAACUUGAAAUUUAACAAGUAUAACUUCUUCUCGAUCUUCCAUUCUUAAUUUUUCUUCCGUUGGUUUUCAAUCCACAAGAUGAUACUCUUGGCAAACGUGCCAGACAUUAAUCUUACUGCAAUCUUUUCACCAAGUGUAUCAGCUAGAACAAUUUUACGAUCACCCUGGUCGUACAAUCAUAUACAUUAAACAAUUCAAUUUACCUUCGCUACCUCAGAUCAAAAUCCUUCCGAGUAAUGGAUAUUGAAGACUUUUUGGAUUCGUAAAAAUCUUGCAUUCUUACCAAAUAUAAUGCCUUCAUAACUUCACAGCAAGAAUGGUAAUCAUGACUUCUAAGUCACCCGUAGGGUAAUUCAUCUCAUGAGGUUCCAUUUAUCGUGAAACGUAUGCAAUCACCCUAACAUUUGCAUCAACAUGCCUCCAAUACCAUUCAAGAAACAUCACUAAAAUUUUAUACUUGCCGCUAUUCUCUGGGAAUACUAAAAUACGUGCAUGAGUGAGGAAAUACUUCAGUUGUUGAAUCCUUUGCUCACAAUUUCCUUCCCACUCAUACAUAACCUCUUUUCUCAACAGUCUCGUCAAUGACAAAGCAAUGACUGAAAAAUCUUUCACAACCAUCCAAGAUAGCCUGGUAAGCUAAGAAAUUCCGAAUCUCAAUUAUGGCUUGUGGUUGUUCCAAAUUUUUAAUUUCUGCUACCUUUUAAGAAUUCAUUUGAAUACCUUAAGCAGAUAUAACCAAUCUCAUAAUGCCACCUGAUUCAUCUAACUUUAGCAUUUGCUACUUAGCAUACAACCGACAUUCUUCCAAUCUUUGUUCCACCGACUUAAUACGUUUACAUGCUCUGCUCUGGCUCCGAAUAUGCCAGAAUAUCUUCAAUGAAAAUGAUAUCAAUCAAGGCAUUAUUGGAAUACUUCAUCCAUCAACUCAUAAAACAGUAUGAGUAUCCAUAUAGCAUCACCAAACUUCAUAAAGACUAUAACAAGUCCAGAAAAACCAUCUUAUGAUCAAUGUCGCUCAAAAUCUUCAAUUGGUAAUAACCAGACCUCAAUCAAUCUUUGAAAUUACACAAACAUCUCUGAGCUUAUCAACUAAACAUCAGUUCACUAUCAUGGAUAACGGUUCUCGAUCGUUACCAAUUCCAUUGUCUAUAAUCAAUGAACAAUCUCUAAGUCCAUUUUCUUUCUCACCAACAAACUGGUGCUCCUCAAAAGUGUUGUACUAGAUUGAAUGAAACUUUUAUCAACCAAUUCUUUCAACUGAAUUUCCAAUUCCCUUAACUCAUCAUGAACCAAUCUCCAAUAUAAAUUUAUACCUGGCAACAAAUCAAUAAUGAACUUCAUAUCUCUACCUGAAGACAAUCCAGGUAUACUUUCAGGGAAGACAUCAAGAAAAGUCUAACUCUUUCGACAUUAUUCACACUACUCCAAACAACAUCAUUUAGCACCACAUGAGCUAAGUAUUUUUGACAGCCUUUCGAAAACAAUCUCUUUGCUCUCACAGCAUAAAUAACGGCCUGACUCAAUCCACUUUGCAUACUUACAAAAGUAAUCUCUGGUCAUCCAGAUCGAUGGAAAGUACUGGUUUCCCGUAACAUUCCAUCUAGUCACAACUAUAAACAAUCACUCUAAUGGAAUAAAAUUAAUUGACCCAAUACAUACUUUAUUAUUACUGAACAUUCUAAAUAAGUACAACACUAACAUAAAAUAAUCUACCGGUUUGCUUGCCUAACGAAUCCACGAAUGAGUUAUUAAUAUUACGGUCUGCAGCCCGCAAUACUGAUAAAUCAUCGUUGUCUCGAUAAGUAGGCAACCACUCUCAAAGAUAUAACAUUACUAUUUUGUCAUUCAAUGCAAAAUACAUACACUCGUCUCAACUACAUUUAAUUACUACUUUCUAAGCAAUAUCAAUCAUAAUAAAAAAAAUAUAUAUAUAUAUAUCAGCCGGAGUCAACUAGAAUGACCAAUACGGCUGAUUCAACUCUUAUCUCAAUAAUACGUCGGCCGGAUCCACUCCGCGUGGUCGGUACGGCCGAGCCUAUAACUCACCAAUUUCUCAUGCGUCAGCCAGAUCCACCUCUCGUGGCCUGAACGGCUGAACAUAUAACUCAUCAAAUCUCUCUGUACUCACGGUCAAUCCGACCAAACUACUAAAUCCAUAACUCUGCUGAAUCAACACUAUGAUAUCAUGGAAAAUUGUUGAGUACAACUGAUUCUAGGGACGAUUCACAAUUCUGUGUCCCCUCUGUUCACAUAAACACAUUCAUUAAUUUCACACUUCCCAAAGUGUUAAUUUUGUACCUGCUGCACAAGGUACAUUUCCUUUACUCGAGACACCUUGUCUCAAAUAUCUGGGAUUAUCAGUAUAUCCAUCACUUUUACUCUGACCAGCGACAUUAAAACCUCAGCUGGAAGAAUUAACUCUAGCUUCACUUCUUUCGAAGCUCUGAAUCUUUCUAUAUCCUUGAUAUGACGAAUCAUUAACUUUAUCGUCUUCUUUUAAUUCCCAUUCAUUUCUUAUUCUUCUUUAUUCUCGUUGCUCAUGUUCUCAGAGUCUUCAAGACUCAACAACAUCUCGUAUAUUCCUGGUAAGAAGUAUAAUGGAUAGUGGUCACCCAAAAUACCACUUCCCUUUUUGCCACCCAGCUUAAAACAACAUAACACCUCCACCAAAUUAACAACAAUAUCUGGAUGGAACGAGGCAAGUCUGAAAACUUUCUAUAAUAUCCCUCGAUCAUCACCUUCCUUGUCUCAUAUUUGUAAACUCUUGUUUACUACCAUCGAUAAAUGCCGGAGGGAUAAACUUUUCCUUAAACAAGUCCUUAAACAAUUUUAAAUCGGUUGAUUCCUCUGGUGACAACAAUUAACAAUCCUGUUUCCACCAGGAUACAAAUUCAUACCCAAAACCAGGUAGUCGUCUCGACCCCCUGUCAGAAGGAAGAUUCCUUUGACUUGCAUAAUCCGAAACAUCUUUUCCAAAUGGUUAAACCGUUACUUCGUUCCCUCAGGUUCAUCAUUCCAUAAGGUGAUUCAAAUUCAACUCAUAACCCGUCUUAAAAUGUCCCUUUUUAUAAUAGACUGAAUCACCAUAAUAAUAGUUUCCCCUAAACCGCUAUAUUAGGGAGACUAAAUUCCUCUAACUAAGUGGCUUGCUACGAGGCGGUGUAGUUCUGACAGAAUUCACUAGAACUUCUCAAAAUGUCCAAGAUUGCAACCAUGCUCUGAUACCAACUGACACACCCCGUCCCGAAGGAGGGCAUGCUGGCCGUCACGUGAGAGUGACGUAACCAUUUGCACAGUACGGAAGCUUUAAGAUACAAUUUAUAAGUUGAUACACCCGAAGGUGAGUCCUAAUUUUUGUCCAAUCUGUCAGAACCCCGCUGUAUUCCUCGUAGCCACCACACCUCAGCUAUUCUUUAACCUGGAGGGGCGCAAAACCAAAAUUGAGUGGGUCAGUAAAACAAUUCUUUUCCAAAUCCAAACAUUUCUCAAAACGUUGUAACCCCUCUCCGUAAAACUUGUAUACUUUCCCAUAAAUGUAAAAUAUAAAUAUACAUAUAUAUUCUCAAAACUUCAUUUUUACUAUCUCAACAUUUUUUUCUUUAUCAACUCAUGCCAUGCCAUGUCUAAUUCAACAGUUAAGUAUGGAUGCAUCAACAAUAAUCAUAUCAGGUGCAAGAAAGUAAUCAACCGGAGGCCCUCUAAUAGCCCUGUACGGUUGAACCUAGAGCUCAAAAUCUAUCACUCUCACUUUGCCGGAGUCACCUCUGUGACCUGUCUGGCCUUCUGCACACAAGUUACGCUCUAGUGCUUUCUCAUCAAUCAUCUGUGCACAUAAUCUAAGGUCACCCACCAGUCGAAAUCUCACUAACACUCUACGACUGGCCCGUCGCACCCACUCCGCGUGGACUGUGCGACCAGCAUCUACUUGGAUCCAAGGCGAGCGUGCGAUGCGGUGAAUACUAUAAGCACUAAACCAUGGUGCAGGAUUUGAGCUCAAUAUACAUCAACAUCAUCAUAACAGUAAUUAAAUACUCACCUGAUACUCACCUGUGCGUCCGCCGCACCAUUCAUUCAUAUGCAUCAUAUCUCAAUUCAUACUUUUCAUAUCAUUUCAUGCAUGGCAACUCGAUUCACAUUUCUAUAUACUUUUCAUAUACUUUUAUGCAUGGCAUCUCAAUUCACAUUUCAAUAUACUUUUCAUAUAAUU